AUAAAGGCGCUGCUGCUGCUGCUGCUGCUGCUUCCACAGAAACUUAGUGUCCAGUGAAAAGAGCCAGUCAAGAGGGGUGGGGAGUCCAGUGUAGAAGCGGACGAAGACCAUACAGACAAGCUUUCACACAGCAGACACUCAGCUUUUUGAGGUGACACCGAUUCUUGAAGAGUCUGAUGCAAUGCUGCACCCUUUAAUCAUCGCCAUUUUUACCGUAAACACCUCUCUGACGGUGAUCUACUGGGCCUGGGUCCUGAGCGAUGCCUACUACAAGAUGCUGUCGGAGCCAGAGGACAACCCAAGAAGUUGGUCCCCCCGGCCUGAGGGAGUCACAGUCAAUAUGGACUGACUGAAUUGCUGGGUUUUUUUUUUUUCAUGCUUAGGACUAGUGAGCAAGCGCUGUUCUGCUUGUAGUGCUUUCUGUGGGUCUUAUUUUGUCUUUCUGUUUUACCUGGAGAGGCCGUGGAAACUGUACUUUAAAUUUUCACUGAAGUAAAUGGAAGUCAAUGAGAAAGAAGUCCUUCUUACAGAGCCAUCUGCGUAUAUGACACACGGCAUUUUGGAGCUCCUUCCAUUCACAAGUCAAA